rnacentral:lncRNA from 1 species
AUUUGAGGAUUUUGGGUGGAUUUUGGGUGGAUUUUGGCCUUUUCCAGGCGCCCCCUCCCUGGCCCGCUGCCGCCGCCUCGGCCGCCGCCGCGAGGAAAAAGCCGAACUCGCCGCCCUCGACGCCUCCAACAUUUUACCCGGUAAAAACCCCAAAUUUCCCCAAAUUUCCCCAAAUUUCCCCAAAUUCACCAUUUUUAACCUCUUUUUUUUCAAUCCCCAGCGAGAUCCCGGCGGAGAAACCCCGAAAAUGCCCCAAAAUCGGCCCCGAAAUCGCCGCUGCCCCCCCCGGAUUGGUCGCGGCUCCGCGGCGUCGUCAGCUCCGACAGCGAGUGAAGUAUUUCCUGGUCCUGAGGAAGAGCCCCGGGGGCCGCUUGGGGCUCUGGGGGCCCUCGGGGGGGAAGAGGUCCCGGCCGGUUCUCAGGAUUUGCUCCUCCAGUUUCUUGUGGCGCUUCAUGUCCGACAGCACCUUGUCCAGCCGCGCCUCGCGCUUCUGCCCGCGGCUCGGGGGGCCUGGAUUGGGGGAAAAUUCACAAAUUUGGGGCAAAAUUCACAAAUUUGGGAACUUUUGGGAGGCCUCGAAUCGUCCCCAGAAUGG